GCCAACAGCCAUAUUACCCUGCAGCCCAAGACUGGUUGCCCACUGAAGCUAAGCAGGGUUGAGCCUAGUCAGUACCUGGAUGGGAGACCUCCUGGGAAAACUAGGUUGCUGCUGGAA
rnacentral:rRNA from 1 species